rnacentral:rRNA from 1 species
UACGUAGGGGGCAAGCGUUGUCCGGAUUUAUUGGGCGUAAAGAGCGUGUAGGCGGCCAUGUAGGUCCGUUGUGAAAACUCGAGGCUCAACCUCGAGACGCCGAUGGAAACCAUGUGGCUAGAGUCCGGAAGAGGAGAGUGGAAUUCCUGGUGUAGCGGUGAAAUGCGCAGAUAUCAGGAAGAACACCCGUGGCGAAGGCGGUUCUCUGGGACGGUACUGACGCUGAGGUGCGAAAGCGUGGGGAGCAAACAGG